GCAAAACGUAUUGGCAAGAAGUUCGGGGUUGUAGAUGGGAGCGUUUGUAGCACGCGCCAUUGCCCUGGCCUCGGCCUGCAAAUCAUCAGUGCGAUCCACUGCCAAAACCAGCUGGGUCUGCAGGGAGGUAUCAGUGUUAACCGCAGGCACAGCCCUGGGUCUCGCCUCAACUAGAGCUGCAAGAGGCUGUUUUGAUGGAGCCA
rnacentral:misc_RNA from 1 species